UCGAGGUUCCACUGUAUAUCACAUUAAAAAUUUAAAUUGUCUACCUUUUUACUAUCAAUUUUGAAACAAACAGUCACAGUUUGUGAGUAGAACCAAAGCAUCUAAGGAAUCAAUGGAUUCUUGCAAACCUAGUGCCUUCAAGUUGAAAAGUCUUUGUCAGUAGCAAAAAUACACAAAUUAUGAAUGAAGUUACACUGAACAUAAAAGAGAACAUAAUUCAAAAAUUCAAAUAUACAAAAGUUUACAAUAACUGUGACAUGUACUGGUAUCCACCCGCACAAUUGUCGAAAGUCCGACCCUACAUUCUUUCCUUGUCACGAUUCUCCUUCCUUCGAGUAUUUAAUUUUAUUUCACUAGUAAACUCCAUUUCCUUUAACCAUUUCAUGAAAAAAUCCAGAACUUGACUACACUGCUCCAUAAUCAAAAGGCCUUUUAUUUAUACUGAAUAAACUACAACGUAAAAACAAAAAGAUUUACAUAAUGUGAUCCAAGGAAACUGUCCUGCCAUCCACUGCUCGUAUCCAUCACUUACUACAAAAGAACUAUGUCGUCACCACCCAGCGGCCAAACUUUUAUACCAAACAUAAUUUACAUAAACUUAUAAAAUAUUAAUACAAACUAUAAAAUUUUACAUUAAUGAUUAAUUAAUUCUUAUUUUAAAACAAGC
rnacentral:lncRNA from 1 species